rnacentral:lncRNA from 1 species
AGAAGGCAGGGCCGUGACUAUGAGGGCGGAGGAGAGAAGUGCGGCUGUGAUCUGGGGAAGGAGGGAAACCCAAGGAUGCCAGCACGUGCGGUUGAGGUGAGAAGGGAUCUUGCAGAACGCUUCCAGGACCCAGAUUCGUAUGCACGCCCUGCCCAGCUGGUCAGCCUCAGUUUCCCCAUCUGUCAGUCUGGACAGUGACGCUCCCAGCGUCCGGCGAAGCCCCGCUCUUGGCCCUUGGUCCCUCCGCCUGAUCACAAGAGGGUGCCGCGACGGCCGGGGACGGGUCUGGCGUGGGCAGGGACCUCUCCGACCCUCAUUGAGGAAAGAAUGGCGGAACCCGAAAACCGGGCCCUGGCGUCCCUCCUGCAAGGUGGGGAGGAGAGCUGGACGGCAGGAUUUGGGAAGGGCUUGGGGAGCAGGGCCCCCUGAGGGUGGCGGGGGAGGCAGUGCUACCAGAACCAUGGUUCGGUUGGUUCAGCCGCCUGGACCUCAUCUGCUCCCUGAGGUUGGUCUUUGCUCCGCACCCUGGUGCGGCCUGGUACACAGAAGGCGCUCAGUAAACACUUGUGGAUGAAGGAAAAAGAGAAUUUAUUGUCGUCGAUUUACAGAAAACAGAAUCAAAGGCCGUGCCGUGCUGGGCCCUCUGGCACCCGGCUUCACAAGCACCCAGGCCUGCCAGGAGGAGCAAGUCCGGGGCCGAAGUGCCAAGGGGCAGGGUGUACAGCAGUGAUGGGGUGGGCAGAGAGAGGAUAGGAGGGCACAACUCCAGCUCUGAAGAAGAGAAAGAGGAGAUUGGCUGAGGCUGGGCAAGGGUGGGAGGCGUCCCCCUGGGUGGUGUCAGGCAGCCUCUUUGUUUGAAAGCAGUGGAUAGGCAGGCAGACAUUGGGCACCAAGGUGGUAAUCAGCAGACCAGAUGCCCAGCAACUCCUAGGCUCAGUCAUCAGCCUCAUUUUACUGCAAGAGAGAAUGAGGCCCCUGGCUCCAAGCUGGUAGAGUGCAGAAGCCACAAAAGCACCUAGGAGCGAGCUGGUUAAGACGGAGAAUGCGGCCAGCCCCACCCAAUACCCCCAGCCCCACCCCUGGCCUCCCCAGGUCCUCCUGUAUUUGUGCAGGCUAUGCCACUGGCCUCAAUGCCAGCUCCUGA